GAAUAACCGGCUCAUCACGCUGGGUGUCAGGCUGAUAAAAAUAGACCGUCCUGCUCAACGAUAACGUCCUGCAUGCCUGGCGGAUGCUCAUUGUAAACUGCGUGGUCAGAUAACUGACGAGCUCACGCUUUAUCGCUGGUUUU
rfam:Dickeya dadantii 3937, complete genome.